rnacentral:rRNA from 1 species
UGAGCAAUCUGCCCUUCUCUUCGGAAUAACCAUUGGAAACGAUGGCUAAUACCGAAUAUGACUUCGGAUCGCAUGAUCUGAAGUGGAAAGCUCCGGCGGUGAAGGAUGAGCUCGCGGCCUAUCAGCUUGUUGGUGGGGUAAUGGCUCACCAAGGCGACGACGGAUAACCGGCCUGAGAGGGCGACCGGUCACACUGGGACUGAGACACGGCCCAGACCUCUACGGGAGG